rnacentral:siRNA from 1 species
CUUCGCUGACAUAAAUGAAAGCCU